rnacentral:rRNA from 1 species
CAUCCUUAGUUGCCAUCACGUUUGGGUGGGCACGUCUAAGGAAACUGCCGGUGUUAAGCCGGAGGAAGGUGGGGAUGACGUCAAGUCCUCAUGGCCUUUAUGUCUAGGGCUACACACGUGCUACAAUGGGUGGUACAAAGAGCAGCUAACUCGCGAGAGUAUGCAAAUCUCAAAAAGCCAUCCUCAGUUCGGAUUGGAGUCUGCAACUCGACUCCAUGAAGUUGGAAUCGCUAGUAAUCGCGGAUCAGCAUGCCGCGGUGAAUACGUUCCCGGGCCUU